CGCAUGUCCUUGCCCCCAGCAAUGGACACAGGGAGCCAACAAAGGCAACUGAACACAUCACACUCUUGUGGAUGGAACCUGAGAGGGAAAGGCAAUGUAGGCCCCCAGUGUGCUCAGGCCAUCCUGCCUGGGGUACAGCUUCUGAAGCUACCUGCAUGGAAGAGGACAGGCAGGGACUGUGACUCAGAGGCAGAGCAUUUUGUGGGAGUGGUGCUGGGGGACACAGUGCGAUCCAGGGCUGCCACAGACACAGUGCAGCAGGCAGGAAGCUAACGUUCUGGAUGGCUGCACAAGAAAUGCAGAGGCUGCUCAGGGAUUCAAACUUCAGCCUUGAGUCCACCUGCCUUGGUCAGACUUCUUGAAGAUAAAUCAAGCAGUUUUCUGGAAAGGAGCAAACAGUGAGUUGGGCCCUGCAGAGCAUCUGGGACCAAGGACUGUAAUACUCACCAUACUCUCUUGCCUUUGCAGUCACCUGUUUUUUGGCUGUUUCUUACCUGCCUGUCCCACUACACUUUUGCUGGGAAAUGGCCCCAAUAAGCAUUCUGUUGUGGAUCUCCUGAUCCUAAUGGGAUCAAGGCUUCUCACAGGAAGGGUUUGCUGUGAGAGCCAUUGCGGGUGCAGCAGGGCUAACCCUGGCAUCAGGUGCAGAUGUGGGCGUGCAUGUAGCCUGGUGACAAGUGACAUACAUUCUCACCAGGGCACCUCACCCACCUGCCACCCUGCCAGCACAGCAUCAGAUAAAAAAUUAAAAAUGUUUGUUCAGAGAUCUGAAAAGUGAGAGUGGAAAUUUUGAGAGAAGAGGCAUUCAUGUGGGAUCCUGCACCUCCACCUUCUAGUCAGACCCCAGAGAGUAAAGAAUGACUCAAAGCUGUCUGUUUCAUGGGGGGUGUCUUACCUAACUGAGUACAUAAAGUGUAGAUAAGUCUAAACAUAGCUGGCAAAUGAAAAUACUAGAAGGCCAAGAACUCCCCCUUACUCUCUUUCCUGGUUCAAGUGGAUUUAAGUUAAUAAGUCAAAAUUUAUCAUACAGGAAUUAAUGCAUUCAUCUGAGUUUCUCAGUCACCCAGGAAUUUAAUUAGUUAUCUUCCAAAAUGGAUGAAACUACUAGAAAAUUCUCAGGUCUUGUAACCAUUUACAAGAAAACAAACAUUUGAAACAAAAAUAUUGGAUAAUCUAAAUUAUUAUUUGUUUUAUCCCAAGGAAAUGAAUCCUAUUUAGAUCACAAAUAAUAAACUAGUGCAAUAUGAUUACAUAUAUUUGUAAGACAACUGUGCAUUUGGAAAAAAAUGUUUUGAGACCUUUGGAUGUAAGUCAUUAUGCAACAAGUUUAUUAAAGCUGGGAUGCAUGUUUAUGACUCUUCUGGGAUCUUCAGGUUGCAGGAUUGGGGGAUGAAAACAAAAAACAGUCACCCUUUGCUCUGAGCAAAUGUCACUCUGAAAGCAGGGCUAUAUAGAAACACCUGCAACCCAAGUCCCUGGCAACUGGCACAGCAGGGAAGAUUGUCCUGUGGGCAGAGAAGAGCGCAAGAGGCAUGACCCUGUGUGGAUGAGAAGAGGACAGAAUGUCUUUCUGUGUGACAUUUAGUGUACCAUUUAACUGGCUGCACACACUCCUCCAUCAUUCAGUCCCCUCUUCAGCUACAACAGGGGCAGUAUGACACCGGAGGGCAGUGGUCUGGAGGCUGUUCCCAAUUGUGCAGGGCUUCCUGGAGACCCUUAUCCCCACUCAUAUCACCCAGUGUGGAACGGACACCUGACCUCUUGUGAUCAAGCACAAAGAAAAUGGGCUGGACCCCAGGAACUGGGCGUUGGGCCUGGUUCUGUGGCCAAUGACUUCUAGGCAGCUGUCAAGAUAUCCCCCCAGCCUCAAUCCUCCUGCAAAGAAAAUGUGGGGCUGGAAUGCAUAGGACCUAUCUUCAGGCCAAGCAGUGGCUCACGUCUGUAAUCCCAGCACUUUGGGAGGCCGAGGUGGGUGAAUCACCUGAGGUCAGGAGUUCGAGAUCAGCCUGGCCAACGUGGCGAAACGCCGUCUGUACUAAAAAUACAAAAAUUAGCUGGGCGUGGUGGCAUGCGCCUGUAAUCCCAGCUACUCGGGAGGCUGAAGCAGGAGAAUCACUUGAACCUGACAGGCAGAGGUUGCAGUGAGCGGAGAUUGGGCCACUGCACUCCAGCCUGGGUGUGACAGAGUGAGACCCUGUCUCAAAACAAACGAACAAGCAAAGACCUAUGUUCACUUCUGAGGAGAGAAGCCCGCUGUCAUUCUGAUCUUUGUUUCUCUGUAUCUAACACUGUAUCCCUCACUCUGUGCCAGCCCAGAUGAUUUUGUAAUUUUCCGUUUAUCACUGGUUUUAAGCAAUUGCUCUAUGAGGUUUCAGGGGUUUUGUACAUGGAGUUUGUUGAGCUACUUACUUCUGUGGUUUGCAGAUGUCAUCGAAUUUGGAAAAUGUUAGUCAUUAUUCUUUCAAAUUUUUUUUGCUCCCUCCUCUUCUUUGAGGACUCCAAUUAUACUAUUAUUUAACCAUCUGAUGUUGUCCCACAGCUCAAUUAACCACAAUUGCUUUUCUUCCCUGUCUUCCUUCUCUCUACGUUGGAUUAUUUCUAUGGCUAUGUUUUCAUAUUAACCAAGGCAGUAUUUAGUCUCUUACGUCUGUGUGGUAUAUCUUUCAUCUUGAAUAUUAUCCUUUUUAUCUCAAGAAGUUCGAUUGGAAUCUUUUUAUAUAGUUGUGUCUCUUCUUAACGUGUUCAAUUUUUUGCUUCUUGAAAAUGUGAAACCCAGUCAUAGUAAUUGUGUUCCCAUCCUUUCCUGAGAAUUCUAACAUCUGUGUCACACCUGGGUUGGUUUUGAUGAUUUUUUUUCCUCUAUCUUAGUAUUUCUCUCAUCAUUGACUGGAUGCCACACAAGAAUUUUACCUUAUUAUGUGCUGGAUAUUUUUGUAUUUCUACAGAUAUUCUUGCAUUUAUCUCUGGCACACAGCUAAAUUGCUUGGAAACAGUUUGCUUUUUUUUCAGGUCUUGCUGUGUUAGGGGAGACCACAGCAUUAGCAACAAAAAUAUGUUUUCCCUGUUCUGAAGCAGAAUGUUUCUGAGCGCUGUGCUUGAUACCCUGUGAAUUAUGGUGCUUUCCACACUGGCUGGUAGAAAUUGGAAUAUUUUCUUCUCUGUGUGAGUCCCAAGGAUGUUUUCCUCUAAUGCUUUCACAUAGUUCUUUCUCCAGCUUUGUGCGGUUUCCUCACAUGCAUGGAUAGGCUGGUCUGUAAUUAGCUGAAGGCUUAAGAGAAGCCUAUGCUGAUCUUGGAAUUAUUUCUCUCAGUGCCUCUCUCUUUUCUCUGUGUUCUGCUUUGCAAACCCUAGCUCUCUGAUCCCCUGGACUUCCAGUUCUGUCUUCCAUUCAGAGAGACUCUGAGUUCUACCUGGGCUUGUCCUUAUGCCCCAUGGCCUGAAAAUUGUCUGGGGCAAGUGCAGGCAUCACCUCCUGUGUUCCCUUCUCCCAGGAGUCAAUGUCUUGUGUUGCCUGAUGUGCAAAGUCUUAAAUAUCACUGUUGCAUACAUUUGUGUGUGUGUGUGUGUGUGUGUGUGUGUGUGUGCGUGCGCGUGCAUUUGUGUGUGUGAGAGAGAGAAAGAGAGAGGGAGAGUUGUUUCAGGUGGGAGUAUAAAUAUGCUUCUUGUUAAUUCAUCUUGGUCAGGAGCAGAAAUGCUCACCUUAAGGAUCUUAAGUCCCAUUUCCCGAUGAGUGCUUAAAUAUUUUCACUACACUCUCUUCUAACUCUGAAAUUCUGUGUCAAUAUCAGAAUAUUUGUGUGUUUUUGGAUUUUUCUGGUACUCUGUAGUUUCAAUUAGAGCAGAUUACAGAAUUAAU
rnacentral:lncRNA from 1 species